AUGAGAAGCAAGCUACAAGGAGGAGUGGAACGCCUCAUUUCAUGUGCUGGCAGGGAGGUCAGGCUGAAGGCUGUGGCCCAAGCAAUUCCAACACACUCUAUGAGUUGCUUCAAACUCACUAAGAAGGUCUACAAAGGCCUUUCUUCAGUUAUGGCUAGAUAUUGGUGGAGUAGCUCAAUCGAUCGCAGAUCACUCCAUUGGAUCGAUUGGCCUUCACUUGCUGAACCCAAGGUUGCUGGAGGGAUGGGGUUUCGUAAUCUAGAAUUGUUCAACCUAGCCCUGCUCGGAAAGCAUGGGUGGAAUCUGAUUAUGAACCCGGACUCUCUCUGUGCUUGUGUACUUAAGGGAAAAUACUUC
rnacentral:rRNA from 1 species